rnacentral:misc_RNA from 1 species
AUGGCAAGGUCGCCGAAGGAUGAUCCAAGAUACAAUGAUGUGAAGCAUAAUACAUGGAAUUAUCACGCGGAAAAUGCCGCAAACUGUCCGCCGGGCGGGUCUGGUGAGAGAAAUCCGCCCCCGAUCUCGCCGAGUCCUUCAGUCAUGAAUGACAACAGUAUGUACGUAAAUGCGAACUUCGGCAACGAUGUUUAUAUGAACAAACACGUAUACAGCCCGCAGAGCUCCGAGACCGAGGACAAAAUGUUUAACAACAUGCCUAACGCUCCUCGCAAUCAGAAUUUCGGAAAUGCCAUGCUCAAUCUGGGUAAUGGCCAAGUGGUGCCCGUGUUUUACGACGAAAAUAACAAGCAGUUGAUUUUCCCUAUGUCCGGCCAGUAUGAACUGUUCAACCACAACCAGGGCCUGUGCGACAUGUCACUCCCUCAACCUCCACUGUUCACUUUGAACCAGGAUUAUUCUGUCAACAAUAAUGUGCAUGUCCCUCCUUCUGCUACUGUCAAUCAAAAUAAUGCAUACCAAGAGAACCAUACCCAACCAACAUCAAAUUUCUUGAAAGAUCUGUUAGGAAACUUAGAACCCAACUCCAGUGGAACAUAUUCUCCAUUUGGUCAAAACUACCCUCUAAACCAUCCAGAUGCCUCGAAUCUUAACAUGCAUUUGAAUCCUAUACUAGAUCAGAAAUGUCAACCAAUGAAGCCAGAAAACUCGCCUAAAAGAAAUGAAACCAGUCCAUUGGCAGACACCAGUAAUAAAAAGCGUAUUGUGGCAGAAGUGAAGCCAAUGCGCCCAACUUACUCUGACGUUUUAGCUAAGAAUACAAAAAACACUACUCCUUCAGAUAAUAUUCGUAGGGCAAAGCCUCAGAACAUUGAAACCAAACCUUUAAACAAUAAAGCUAAUUUAAAACCUGAGAAACUUGUUUGUAAUGUAAAACAAAAUGAUGAAAACAAGCAAAAGAAUGAGAGAAAACAACACACCAACACCAUAUCUUCUGGGAGCGAGUCAGGGGAUAUAAACACAGAUGAGAUGGAGAAGCGCCCCAAACCGAACAAACGAUCAAAGAACAAACACAACAACAUUUCCCGCAAGUGGUCUUCUCUUGAUGAUAUCACUAAUGAAGAAGACAUUUCAUACAAGCAUGACAAUGAUAGUCAGUUUGUGUUUAUCGAGGAACAAGAGAAACCAUUGAAAAAAGAGAAGAAAUGUGAUGCAAAUAAAAACAAACAUGCAGACAAAAAUGAGUCUGAGGACAAUUUUAAAGUAGAAGAAGAGGAGGAAGAAACAUCAUUUAUAUUUCAGGAAACGCAGAAUGAAUGCACUAAGUCUAAGAAGAAGAAAGAUGGGAGAAGUUACCAUAAAGCUCCCAAGCCUGUGCAGGACAAAAAGAAGGGCAACCAGUUCAAAUUCAGGAGGAAUAAGCCUGGCUACUUGGGAUUGGCUCAGAACUAUAUGGAACACUGGGGUGGGGCCACAUGGAAGGCUAUUGUGUGGUUCAUAUAUCUUCUGUCUGACAUCUGCCGCAUGAGUCUCCAUUUAUCUUUUGACCUAUGCACCUCAAUGUUUACUCAAACUUACGUGAGCUCCCAAGCGAUAUGGCGCAGCAGCAAGGACUGGAUGACCAAGCUGGGCGAUAAUAAAUACUUGCUGUACAUCGACAGGAAGUUUGGUCACACGCGCUUCGGAUUUUGGAGGAAAUUCAAAUGGUUUAAGAAAGAAACGGAUACGGAUAGUGGAAAUGAUUCGACCAAGUUGAAUGCAAACAUACCACUGCCUGCUACCGGCGAAGAUGCUAUGAAACGAUUGCUCGCGUGCAAAGGAAAAGAUCCCUACAGUAUUCUAGGCGUGAGUGUGACUUGCACGGAUGAGGAGAUCAAACGGUACUACAGACGGCAGGCGUUCCUCGUGCACCCCGACAAGAACCAGCAGCCCGGCGCCGAAGAGGCGUUCAAAAUACUGCAGCAUGCUUUCGAACACAUUGGUGAACCGGAGCGGCGCGAGGCGUACGAGCGGCGCGCGGCGGAGUCGCGGCACGCGGAGGCGGCGUGGGGCGAGCUCAGCGUACUGCUCGCGCAGCUGCACGACAAAAUGGAGUUCGCCGCCAACACCAUACGAUGCACGAACUGCGGCCGCCGCCACAAGCGCGUGUUGACGGACAGGCCGUGCUACGCGGCACGAUACUGCGUACAGUGCAAAAUACGACACUCAGCCAAAGAGGGCGACAUCUGGGCGGAGUCCAGUAUGAUGGGCCUGCUGGUGAUGUACUACGCGUGCAUGGACGGCGCCGUCUACCAGAUCACGCAGUGGGCCAGCUGUCAGAAAAAGAAUCUAAAACAGUUGAGGCCGGACUGUCACGUGGUGCAGUACCGCAUCGUGCUCGGGAACAAGACGGCCGCCGCCGCCGACAUCAACCAGCGACCCUCUACCGGUCACGAUCCCAAUCUGGAAGAGUUUCUGAACAACCUGUACAGCAAGACCGGCGUGUCUCCGUGUAGCUCGUCCAAGCCGCCCGAAGCCGACGCCAAGAAACGACGCAAUAAAAAACCUAAAGCUUAGACCUCGUCCUGCCUCUUAUAAACUAAUAACCCCUCCUCUAAAUUAAUUGUCGAUAUCGAUAAGCGCGAAAUUUGAAAAUGGAACGUUGCGUGUUGUACUAAAACCGAUACUAUAAUUCUUUUCUUUUUUUUCCGAUUCCUGAUAAAUUGUGAACAAAGUUUCAAUAGCAAAUGAAUUGAAUCAAGGAAUUCUUGAAUAUUUUGUUGUGCCCGUAGGUUUAGAUGUUAAUUUGACGUUAUUUUUAUUCUAUCGAAAUUAUGUUUUGAAUAGUUGUAAUCGAUUGACUAAACAUUAUUUAUACAUAAUUUAAUUAAUAUUUUAUAUUAAUUAAAAAUAUCGAUUGACGUAAGUCCGCCAUGACGCGAAUGAAUUAGAUGGUAAUGAAUAAAUGUCACGUAAGUACGAAAAUGUAAAAUAUUUUCAUUAUAAUGGUUUAAGAAUUUAAAAUUCAAUCCAACUACCUGUUUGUGUGCUUGCACCAAGUUAGUAUAUAAAAUUUGCAAUAUAUUUUUAGGAAGAUACCUUACUGGAAUAUUAUGAAUUUCUUUACUUUCACUGUUGAAUCAUUCACUAAGAAAUAUCACGCGAUUGUGAUAAACAUCAUGACAAAAUCUUAUAGUAUUUAUGCAAUAUAACAUUGAAAGGAAUCUACAUUUGGCCCCCGAGCCCCGUAACUUAUUCAUUAUUAACAAUUUGACAGCGCAUGUGCUAAUCUGAGAUUAUGUUGAUAUAGGUUAAAACAGGCGUCCACUAGCGAAACUACGACCAAAUUAUGCAAAACCUAAAAAAAAAUAUUAUUUAUCAUUGAACAAAUCAAUCUAAGUUAAAAUAGUUUUUCAUUAACAAAAUCAAAAUUUGCAAAUACUUGUGAUUUUUUAAUCAAUGGGAUUAUAUUUAAAUAAUUUGAUCUCCAUUUUCGCAACAUCCUGUGUAAUAAAUCUGACAUGUAAACUGCAUUGUACAUAAGUACUAAUAAUAAGUUAUUGUACUAUUUUUAUAACCAUAGGCAGUAGGUAAUCAAUCAUAAAUUCAUAAUCACACGUAACUUCGCUAGUGGAUGUCAUAGUUAAUUUUACGAUUUGAGUCAUUAGGUGUAAAUCUACUUCCCAAGUUUACAUUGAAUUCAUUACAAAUGUCGACUUAGACAAUGUGGCGAAUAUACUUGUACUAGAAACCGGGUAAUAUGCACGAGUGGUGACACAAAGUCUGGUAAAUAAGCAGCAAAGUUACAUCAUAACUGGGGCUGAAACUAAGAAGCUUUUCUAUAAUCGUUAACGCCAAUAGAAAACAAAAUAUGUUAGGAAUGGUUUAUUCAAGCAACACUUAUUUCUAGAAUACUUAAUUUCUACAUUCGUGGCUAUGACCUUUGAUACAAUUGGAGUGCAGUUGAUUUAACUUAAUUUACUGGUGGUAGUUCUCUCAUAUGUGAGAGUCGGCCUGGGUAGGUACCACCGCCUAUCUAUUUCUGCCGCCAAGCAGCAGUGUACAGUCACUGUUGUGUUCCAGUUUAAAGGACAUUGUAACCAAUGUAACUACUGGACAUAAUAAGACUUAACAUAUCAUGUCUGAGGAUGGCGAGCGCAGUGGAAUACCAAACAUUACUUUGUAAUUCAAUGUGUUGGUUGGUGUUUCUACUGUUUAUGGACAUACUCCUAGUAGUUAUCUACAAGGACUACUUGUUAACAUUGUCAAAAUCUCUAAUAAAUUCAUACCACCAUAGAUGACCAGAACUACAUAUUACAACUGCCUCGGUGGAUAGUGGUAUUACGGUACGACUGCUGUGCUGAGAUGGGGUUCGAUCCCCAUGUCAGGCGAAGUGAUAUCGAUCCUGCUUAGUAUCAGUCUGGAAAUUGGUGAUAGGACGACAUGACGUCAUCGGAAGUUACAAGGUGUGCGAAAGAGUGAGAUGGGACGAUAUCCCCUCUACACGCCCAUUCCUGCACAUACAAUAUUUGAAUUAUGGAUUACUGCUUCAUUUCUUACUCAAUAUUGAUGCGGUUUUCACUAAGUCCUUUUUUUUGUAUUAUUUGCUGUAACAUCAUACCUACAUAGUAAAAUACCCUAUUGUUCUCAACGAUUUACUCCUGUGUGUCAUUUCAGAAUGAGUGAUGUUUUUUUAUGGAGUUAUAUAAUUUAUUCUAGAAACUCAAGCCUAUUUUUACCGCCUUCACGAAAAUGAUCAAUUCAAUCUGUAUUUUUUAUCAUGCCAUAAAUUUAAAAGUAUGAUUUGGUCGAAAUAACAGCACGCGUGCAUAUAAUCCGGUACCUAGUUACGAAACGUAUUUUUAAAGUUGUAGCUUGUUUGCUUUUUCUUUAGCAUCCGUGAUUAUAGACAAAUUGGUUAAUGCAAUUUAUUUUUUAAUGUAUGUGUAAGCAUUUAUAAUGGUUCGUUGUUUUACCGUACAUACGAUUUUACAAGUACAUCAUACUGCCAGUUGUGUUAGCAAUGGACUUAACAAAAUAUUAAAAAAAAAGUGUUCCUGUCAUUAUGUGAACAUACUGCACAAGUAUCUACACUUGCUAAAGUAAUCCAUGCAGUAUUUUCUAAGGACUUUGAACAGAAUAACUUGAAUCGUAAAAAUGUCUACACAUACCAGCGUACAAAAAUUAAACCAUAACGAGUUAACAAGACGAGCGACGAGGAAUGUCGAUGAAAAUCUUUACUUUUAAUAUUAAAAAUAACGUUUGUUCCUUAAUUUGAAUUAUAGAUGUUACUGUUUAUUUUUAUUUGUUACGAAUUACCGACACGCUAUGAGUCGACAAUCAUUAUCAUAAACUUCUAAUUGAUGUAAUUCUCUUUAGUAAAUAAAUGUGAAAGUAAAAUGUGCAAUCCCAAAUUAAAACCUGUUUUAGUGAUGUGGUUAACUGCCGAUAUUUAAUAAAUACAUUAUCGAUAAUUAUCAAGAUAUCGAUUCUUAAAUGAACCAAUCAAUGCGUGAGUGUUAUGAUUCAUUAUUCGAAAUGGUCCAUUUUCCGAUCGAUCUAGAGAUAGCUAUCGGAAAUGUAUCGGCCGUAUGUUCUGUGCGUGAUUGCGUUGUCGACUUGUAGUUACCGCACUACAAUUCACUGCCUGUACAAGAGAUUAUCGAUGUUAGGCUAGUGGCGGCGAGAAUGCUGCCCAGAUAUUCGCUGUGCGUAGGCCUUCGCGCUUCAUGUGUCAAUAAAUAUGUGGAAACGCAAACAAA